rnacentral:siRNA from 1 species
UAAGAGUCUGAUGGACGGAUG